rnacentral:rRNA from 1 species
UACGUAGGUGGCAAGCGUUGUCCGGAAUUAUUGGGCGUAAAGCGCGCGCAGGUGGUUUCUUAAGUCUGAUGUGAAAGCCCACGGCUCAACCGUGGAGGGUCAUUGGAAACUGGGGAACUUGAGUGCAGGAGAGAAGAGUGGAAUUCCACGUGUAGCGGUGAAAUGCGUAGAGAUGUGGAGGAACACCAGUGGCGAAGGCGACUCCUUUGGCCUGAGUAACUGACACUGGAGGCGCGAAAGCGUGGGGAGCAAACAGG